UACAGAGGGGGCAAGCGUUAUUCGGAAUUAUUGGGCGUAGAGGGCGCGUAGGCGGCUUUGCAAGUGACGGGUGAAAGCCCUCGGCUUAACCUGGGAACUGCAUUCGAGACUGCAUUGCUAGAGUAUGGGAGAGGGAAGUGGAAUUUCCGGUGUAGCGGUGAAAUGCGUAGAUAUCGGAAGGAACAUCAGUGGCGAAAGCGACUUCCUGGACCAAUACUGACGCUCAUGUGCGAAAGCGUGGGGAGCAAACAGG
rnacentral:rRNA from 1 species